rnacentral:rRNA from 1 species
GAUGAACGCUGGCGGCGUGCCUAAUACAUGCAAGUCGAGCGAACUGAUUAGAAGCUUGCUUCUAUGACGUUAGCGGCGGACGGGUGAGUAACACGUGGGCAACCUGCCUGUAAGACUGGGAUAACUUCGGGAAACCGCAGCUAAUACCGGAUAGGAUCUUCUCCUUCAUGGGAGAUGAGUGAAAGAUGGUUUCGGCUCUCACUUACAGAUGGGCCCGCGGUGCAUUAGCUAGUUGGUGAGGUAACGGCUCACCAAGGCAACGAUGCAUAGCCGACCUGAGAGGGUGAUCGGCCACACUGGGACUGAGACACGGCCCAGACUCCUACGGGAGGCAGCAGUAGGGAAUCUUCCGCAAUGGACGAAAGUCUGACGGAGCAACGCCGCGUGAGUGAUGAAGGCUUUCGGGUCGUAAAACUCUGUUGUUAGGGAAGAACAAGUACGAGGGUAACUGCUCGUACCUUGACGGUACCUAACCAGAAAGCCACGGCUAACUACGUGCCAGCCGCCGCGGUAAAAC